AAUCUUGUACAAUGGUGGAAACCCUUAUCCAGCCAUCCCGCGCGUAUGAUGAAGGUCUUCGGGUUGUAAAGCUCUUUUGUCCGGUACGAUAAUGACGGUACCGGACUAAUGAGCCCCGCCUAACUUCGUUCCAGCAGCCGCGGUAAUACGAAGGGGGCUAGCGUUGCUCGGAAUCACUUGUCUUAAAGGGCGCGUAGGCGGACGUUUAAGUCAGGGGUGAAAUCCCGGGGCUCAACCUCGAAAUUGCCUUUGAUACUGGAUGUCGCGAGACCGGAAGAGGUAAGUGGAACUGCGAGUGUAGAGGUGAAAUUCGUAGAUAUUCGCAAGAACACCAGUGGCGAAGGCGGCUUACUGGUCCGGUUCUGACGCUGAGGCGCGAAAGCGUGGGGAGCAAACAGG
rnacentral:rRNA from 1 species